rnacentral:lncRNA from 1 species
GACCGGCGCGGGUGCUGGAGGUCAGCAGGGGCCGUGGGCGGUGGACGCUGGAAUGCCUUGGGUUCCGAGGGACCCAGCUGCCUGAAUGGACACGAGUAGGAGGUUUUUGCUGGGCGUCUUUGCGGUGGCGGGAAGCGGUGAGGGAGGGAAAGAAGGAUACAAGCUCAAGGGGCAGGCCGGGUGCACCAUCCAUCCCCGUGCCCUCGGGUCAUCUCAGGGAGACUGUGGGAUGAUAGUGCGUUUGUGGGCCACAGUUCACAACGAUGGGCCCUGCAUCGGGUCAGAGGACCCCUCCGGAACAGGGGGAUGCACAAGGUCAAGAGAAUGCAUGGAAUCAGAGGGCUGCACCAGGUCAGGGGGGCUGCACCGAGACCAGAGGAAGCAUCAGGUCAGGAGGAUGCACUGGAGUGUGCAUCCCCAGGGGGCCACACUGGGUAAGGAGGAUGCACCAGGUUAGGAGGCAGCACUGGGUCAGAAGGAUGCACUGGAAUCAGGGGACUGUACCAGGUUGGGGGGCGUGCCUCAGGUCAGGAGGAGGCACUGGGGUCCGGGGGCAACAUUGAGUCAGGGGCAGCCCUAGGUCAGGAGGAUGCAUGGGGUCAGGGGGCUGCAGGGGUUUGAGGGCUGCACUGGGUCAGGGCGCCAUACCAGGUCAGGGGAUGCGCAGGAUCGGGGGAGAUGCCCGGGGUCGUGGGAUGCUGGGGGUUGGGGGGAUGCUCGGGGUCGGGGAGUUCUCGAGGUCGGGGGAUACUCGGGGUCAGGGGGUUCUCAGGGUUGGGGGGAUACUUAGGGUCAGGGGAUGCUCUAGGUUGGGGGAAGCUCGGGUUCAGGGGCUAUGGCCAGGGAGGAAGGACAAUCAGGAAAGUGGGGGUAGCGGAUUCUGGAAGCUAAAUAGUUUCAGGAAGGAGGAAUUGAUAGCCAAUGUUCAGAAGUACUGUGAGGCCAAGACUCCAGAGACAAUUGAGUUUGGCAUAUGCCAGUCAUUGGCAUCCUUGACAAAAGCAGUUUCAAAGGAGUGUGGGGAAGCUACAUCUCGUCAGAGUGGACUGUGAAAAGAAUAUUAAGUGAAGUGGAAAAAAGGCAUCCACAUUAAUCUGGAUAAAGGCUGCUUCUUCAGCCACAGCUAAGGUGC